rnacentral:rRNA from 1 species
UACGUAGGGGGCAAGCGUUGUCCGGAUUUAUUGGGCGUAAAGCGCGUGUAGGCGGUUUCUUAAGUCUGAUGUGAAAGCCCUGGGCUCAACCCAGGAAGUGCAUUGGAUACUGGGAGACUUGAAUACGGGAGAGGGUAGUGGAAUUCCUAGUGUAGGAGUGAAAUCCGUAGAUAUUAGGAGGAACACCGGUGGCGAAGGCGGCUACCUGGACCGAUAUUGACGCUGAGACGCGAAAGCGUGGGGAGCAAACAGG